CAGGGGCACUCAAUCGGUAAUGCCAUACACGGUCUCCAGUGAUCCAAACUCCUCUCUCACUCUGGUAUCCAGAGAAUUCUAAUCCUCUAAAUGGAGAGAUACAGCACCCUCAACCAGUCUGAAGAAGUUUCAAAAGAAACCUACCCACAAAUCUACUUGAGAACAAAGGAGGCGGGUGGGUGCUUAUUGGCAGUUACAGGAAAGCUAACAGCUGGUGCAUCUGGAGGAAUGAGAUCCAGGUCCCGUUCACUGAGAGAUCCUCCCUCUCUGGUGUUCUCUUGACUGGAUCCCUUCGCCAGGGGUGAACAUAAGGAUGUAGACAAGCAAAAUAAAUGACAGUAAUGUCCUAGGCAUGAGAGAGAGAAGAUCAAAUUGCCCAGGCAACACAGAAUGCUCCGUGCUCUCACCUGAGGACAGGAUCAUCAGACCUUCACGUAAUAUUAAGCCCCAGAAAAACCACUGGAAAGAUUUUUAAGAUAAGUAUAAAUAAUAAAUCAAUAUGGGAAAUAUAUGGAAUCAUAUGAAAUGUUGAAUUAAAAUCAAAGAAAGCAACAAGCGGGUAUGGGAUGGAUAGAGAGGACAACAGAACAGGGUACUAAACGGUAGAUGGUAAAGAAGCAGGCGAGAAUCGCCCAAGGUAACGUGAGAGGCUGGCAGAUUGACGGGAGUGUCUUCACUCACUCUUGUAACCCCACCAUGUGGGAGGCUGAAGCAAGAGGAUUCCCACAGGUUCUGGGCCAGCCUGACCUACUUAGCAAGUUCAAAGUCAGCCUGAGCUACUGCGAAAUCCUGUCACAGGGGUUUGUGACCUCAGGAGAUGCUCAUGACUACGGUUUGCUUUGAGAAUGGGAUGGGCAAAUUCUCAGUCUGAAGAGAAGGUGUGUGUCACCUUUCAUGUUCACUCAUGAAAGGUGACACACACACACAGGCUUUAAUUUGCAGGUGAAGAGAUAUCCAGAUCAAUACCAAAUUGCAGCAUAAUGGACAUUGAAUCUUUAUGUUGUUGAUAUUGUUUUUAACCUGACAAGUCAUAAUUAUAUACAUUUAUGAAAUACAAAGUGAUGUCAACAUGAAGGGAUGCAAAGUAGGAUGAUUAACAUCCAAAUGAACGCAUCCAUCACAUCCCCUCCUUGCUAUUAUACAGUGAGACAGUUAAGACCUCCUCUCAGUGACCUGAAAGCUUUCCUUGUGUC